rnacentral:ncRNA from 13 species
GCUGUCCUUGUCAUGGGGUGGUUGGGAGGCUCGAUGAACGUCUGGUGAGGGCCUCCCUGCUGACACCAUAAUCAACACGCACGCGCCGCCCGGGCCUCGAGCCCGGACCCGGCGCAAUUUUUGGAACC